GCAGAACGCGAAGAACCUUACCUACUCUUGACAUCCAGAGAACUUAGCAGAGAUGCUUUGAUGCCUUCGGGAACUCUGAGACAGGUGCUGCAUGGCUGUCGUCAGCUCGUGUUGUGAAAUGUUGGGUUAAGUCCCGCAACGAGCGCAACCCUUAUCCUUUGUUGCCAGCGGUUAGGCCGGGAACUCAAAGGAGACUGCCAGUGAUAAACUGGAGGAAGGUGGGGAUGACGUCAAGUCAUCAUGGCCCUUACGAGUAGGGCUACACACGUGCUACAAUGGCGCAUACAAAGAGAAGCGACCUCGCGAGAGCAAGCGGACCUCAUAAAGUGCGUCGUAGUCCGGAUUGGAGUCUGCAACUCGACUCCAUGAAGUCGGAAUCGCUAGUAAUCGUAGAUCAGAAUGCUACGGUGAAUACGUUCCCGGGUCUUGUACACACCG
rnacentral:rRNA from 1 species